GUGAAUACAUAGCGUAAUGAAGCGAACCGGGGGAACUGAAACAUCUAAGUACCCCGAGGAAAAGAAAUCAACCGAGAUUCCCCCAGUAGCGGCGAGCGAACGGGGAGCAGCCCAGAGUCUGAAUCAGCAUGUGUGUUAGUGGAAGCGUCUGGAAAGUCGCACGAUACAGGGUGAAAGUCCCGUACACAAAAGUGCAUGUGUUGUGAACUCGAAGAGUAGGGCGGGACACGUGGUAUCCUGUCUGAAUAUGGGGGGACCAUCCUCCAAGGCUAAAUACUCCUGACUGACCGAUAGUGAACCAGUACCGUGAGGGAAAGGCGAAAAGAACCCCGGCGAGGGGAGUGAAAAAGAACCUGAAACCGUGUACGUACAAGCAGUGGGAGCA
rnacentral:rRNA from 3 species